CUCGCUUUUUGUAUGUUUAAUAAGCAACUCCUGCAUCUCAUUAAUCUGUUUAUCUAAUUUAAUCAAAGUCACAAGAAAUGUGACUUUGAUUAAAUUAGAUAAACAGAUUAAUGAGAUGCAGGAGUUGCUUAUUAAACAUACAAAUGUGAG